GUACACUCCUGCGGGAGGCAGCAGUGGGGAAUUUUGGACAAUGGGCGAAAGCCUGAUCCAGCAAUGCCGCGUGAGUGAAGAAGGCCUUCGGGUUGUAAAGCUCUUUUGUCAGGGAAGAAACGGUGAAAGCUAAUAUCUUUUGCUAAUGACGGUACCUGAAGAAUAAGCACCGGCUAACUACGUGCCAGCAGCCGCGGUAAUACGUAGGGUGCAAGCGUUAAUCGGAAUUACUGGGCGUAAAGCGUGCGCAGGCGGUUUUGUAAGUCUGAUGUGAAAUCCCCGGGCUCAACCUGGGAAUUGCAUUGGAGACUGCAAGGCUAGAAUCUGGCAGAGGGGGGUAGAAUUCCACGUGUAGCAGUGAAAUGCGUAGAUAUGUGGAGGAACACCGAUGGCGAAGGCAGCCCCCUGGGUCAAGAUUGACGCUCAUGCACGAAAGCGUGGGGAGCAAACAGGAUUAGAAACCCCGGUAGUCCC
rnacentral:rRNA from 1 species